CAUGUGGUUUAAUUCGAUGCAACGCGAAGAACCUUACCUGGGCUUGACAUCCCGAGAAUCUUCUGGAAACAGGAGAGUGCCCUUCGGGGAACUCGGUGACAGGUGGUGCAUGGUUGUCGUCAGCUCGUGUCGUGAGAUGUUGGGUUAAGUCCCGCAACGAGCGCAACCCCUAUUGUUAGUUGCCAUCAUUCAGUUGGGCACUCUAGCGAGACUGCCGGUAAUAAACCGGAGGAAGGUGGGAUGACGUCAAAUCAUCAUGCCCCUUAUGACCUGGGCUACACACGUGCUACAAUGGUUGGUACAACGAGUUGCGAGUCGGUGACGGCGAGCUAAUCUCUUAAAGCCAAUCUCAGUUCGGAUUGUAGGCUGCAACUCGCCUACAUGAAGUCGGAAUCGCUAGUAAUCGCGGAUCAGCACGCCGCGGUGAAUACGUUCCCGGGCCUU
rnacentral:rRNA from 1 species